rnacentral:sRNA from 1 species
AGGGCUCAGACUCUGGUCUUCUGGCUCCCCAUGACUGCAUAGCCGCCUCUGCACGCAGGAGCUUCUGGUUCAUCUCUGCCUUCUCCUCUCUCCCCACAGUCACAUUGCAGGCCCUGGUCCCCAGCAGCUUUGCAUCAGCCUGGAGCCGGCCCUCCUCCUCAAAGGCGAUGUCAUGGUAACAUGUUAUCACAAGGGUGGCCGGGGCACAGACCGGACCCUCGUGUUCCGAGUCCAGUUCCACACCUGCACCAUCCACGGACCACAGCUCACUUUCCCCAAGGACCAGCUGGACGAGGCCUGGACUGGUGAGUCUGAGACAAGUGGCCUGGGGCUGGAGCCCAGGUGGCAGGCAGGCAGGAGAGUGUGGUAUGGGCCAGGGGCCUGGUUCUUCACUGUCCACUCCCCAUAGAUGAGAGAUUCCCCUUCCAAGCCUCCGUGGAGUUUGUCUUCUCCUCCAGCCCCGAGAAGAUCAAAGGUAAGAGCAGGGACAUGGGCUGGGGACUGAGGGCCGCCUCUCCCCUGCUCCCCAACACCCGAGUGGCCUUCCACAGGCAGCACUCCACGGAAUGACCCCUCGGUC